CUAUCCCACAACGAAUACACUAUUUCUCGUCCAAUUAUCGAAGUUAAGCAGCAUCCGACGCAGUCAGCAUUUGGAUGGGUGACCGCCUGGGAACACCGCGUGAUGUUA